rnacentral:rRNA from 1 species
CCCUUAGAUGUCCUGGGCCGCACGCGCGUUACACUGAUGCAUUCAACGAGCUUAUAACCUUGGCCGAGAGGCCUGGGCAAUCUUGUUAACGUGCAUCGUGAUAGGGAUAGAUUAUUGAAAUUAUUAAUCUUGAACGAGGAAUUCCUAGUAAACGCAGAUCAUCAAUCUGCAUUGAUUACGUCCCUGCCCUUUGUACACACCGCCCGUCGCACCUACCGAUUGGAUGGUCCGGUGAAGCCUCGGGAUUGUGGUUCUUGCCGCUUUAUUGUGGCGUGACCGCGAGAACUUGUCUAAACCUUAUCAUUUAGAGGAAGGUGAAGUUGUAACA